GCGUAAUUGGUUUAGUGGUAAAAUUCUCCGUUGCCAGUCGAGUUCCUCUGGAACCAACAAGAUAUCGGGGAGCCCUGGGUUCGAUUCCCAGAUUACGCA